AAUUCUUAAUUGGCAAUUAGGCAACGGUAAUGCAUGGUUUUGCAACUAUAAAUACAGCUUCAAAUCAGUCUUCUAAAUAGAACAACUGAUCAUAUUAUUGCUAUAGCUUGCAUACCCUUUUGUUCAUCACUUUCUAUUCAUUACAUAAGUUUUGAGAGCCAAAAUUCUUGACGAAAGUUGUUGCGUUCUUGAGCGUAUCUGUUUACU
rnacentral:lncRNA from 1 species